rnacentral:sRNA from 1 species
CGCUCGUUACAGAGCACAGGUACUGGCUAAAUGUGUCCGAUCAUUCAUCAUGAUUUUGCCCUCCACUUUGUCACAGCGUGGGGAUUUAAGGAAGAUAGAUGGUACGAGAUGUUGUCUCCUCCGCAGACGCUUUCUGCUCUGGACAGGCUGCUCUGGGUGGUGAUCCAGAGUGAACCAGUAGUCAGAGGCUCUGAGGAAACUAGCCUUGCUGGGACCCCCACUGCACUCUGCCACCUACAGUUUCUCCAGUGCCUGUCCUGUCCCCGUGGACCCCAGAGCUGACCCCGCUGGGCAGGUGGCCAUGUCUAGGCCGCCCUGAUGUGGAGUUGACAGGAACCUUCUGUCGAAGACUCAAUCUGCUUCCCUCUCCUCUCUGUGAGGACCUUGGCCACUGUACCUCAGAGUCCCUGGACUUCAGGGUGCCUCUGGAGCCUGCUGUCUUCACACCAAACUCACUUCUGGGCCAACUUUCUUAAAAUAGUUCCCAUGUGAUACCCUGUGAACCCAAACCCUGGUGAGGGCCUCGUGUGGGGUGCAGGGGCUGCCCCUGAACCA